rnacentral:rRNA from 1 species
GACGAACGCUGGCGGCAUGCCUAAUACAUGCAAGUCGAGCGAACAGAUGAAGUGCUCGCACUUCUGACGUUAGCGGCGAACGGGCGAGUAACACGUAAGGAAUCUACCUAUAAGCGGGGGAUAACAUUCGGAAACGGGUGCUAAUACCGCAUAAUAUCUUCUUCCGCAUGGAAGAAGAUUGAAAGACGGCUCUGCUGUCACUUAUAGAUGACCUUGCGGUGCAUUAGUUAGUGGGUGGGGUAACGGCCUACCAAGACGAUGAUGCAUAGCCGACCUGGGAGCGGGAUCGGCCACAUUGGGACUGAGACACGGCCCAAACUCCUACGGGAGGCAGCAGUAGGGAAUCUUCCGCAAUGGGAGAAAGCCUGACGGAGCAAUGCCGCGUGAGUGAAGAAGGCCUUCGGGUCGUAAAACUCUGUUAUAAGAGAAGAACAAAUUGUAGAGUAACUGCUACAGUCUUGACGGUAUCUUAUCAGAAAGCCACGGCUAACUACGUGCCAGCCGCCGCCGUAA